CUCUUGAUCAAUAGGUAUAGAAAAAAUGCAUUACUUAAAUCAAUGACAGUGAAGCAAGUGGCAUCAUGUGGAAUGGCUGUAAUGAGGGAUGUCACAUCAGGGACAAUGGGUGAAAUGGGCACAAUUAAACUAUUCAGGGCUCUAAAGUCCUGAACUAAGCGAUAUGCUGGCCAGUGGUGUUGGGAGUGGUUCUGGUGUUGUUCUUGCCUACAGGGCAUAUUUUGAGAAUUGUGGGGUUGGUGGGGUGUGUGGGGUUUCCUGGGGUGUGGACACUCAUUCCUCCAGUGGCCA